UAUUGGUCAAUGGGCGCGAGCCUGAACCAGCCAAGUAGCGUGAAGGAUGACGGCCCUAUGGGUUGUAAACUUCUUUUAUAUGGGAAUAAAGUUUGGUAUGCAUACCAUUUUGUAUGUACCAUAUGAAUAAGGAUCGGCUCACUCCGUGCCAGCAGCCGCGGUAGUACGGAGGCUCCGAGCGUUAUCCGGAUUUGUUGGGGUUAAAGGGAGCGUAGGUGGACAGUUAAGUCAGUUGUGAAAGUUUGCGGCUCAACCGUAAAAUUGCAGUUGAUACUGGCUGUGUUGAGUACAGUAGAGGUGGGCGGAAUUCGUGGUGUAGCGGUGAAAUGCUUAGAUAUCACGAAGAACUCCGAUUGCGAAGGCAGCUCACUGGACUGCAACUGACACUGAUGCUCGAAAGUGUGGGGAUCAA
rnacentral:rRNA from 1 species